rnacentral:rRNA from 1 species
CCUACGGGAGGCAGCAGUAAGGAAUAUUGGACAAUGGACGCAAGUCUGAUCCAGCCAUGCCGCGUGAAGGAUUAAGGCCCUCUGGGUUGUAAACUUCUUUUAUAGGGGACGAAAAAAGGGCUUUCUAGCUCGUCUGACGGUACCCUAUGAAUAAGCACCGGCUAACUCCGUGCCAGCAGCCGCGGUAAUACGGAGGGUGCAAGCGUUAUCCGGAUUCACUGGGUUUAAAGGGUGCGUAGGCGGGCAGUUAAGUCAGUGGUGAAAUCUUCGAGCUCAACUCGGAAACUGCCAUUGAUACUAUCUGUCUUGAAUACUGUGGAGGUGAGCGGAAUAUGUCAUGUAGCGGUGAAAUGCUUAGAUAUGACAUAGAACACCGAUUGCGAAGGCAGCUCGCUACACAAAUAUUGACGCUGAGGCACGAAAGCGUGGGGAUCAAACAGGAUUAGAUACCCUGGUAGUCCACGCCCUAAACUAUGGAUACUCGACAUUUGCGAUACACAGUAAGUGUCUGAGCGAAAGCAUUAAGUAUCCCACCUGGGAAGUACGACCGCAGGGUUGAAACUCAAAGGAAUUGACGG